AUACAGUUUUGAGGGAGGAAGAACAAGAUGUAGAAUACAAAGGCUGUAGUUUCACAGAAGGCUACAGGGACUCUUUCUCUUGUGUGGUAUAGCUCAAAAUUUUGGAUACUCCGAUAUGCUAAUUUUUAAGAGGAUGAGUAAAUAAUCUCAUGGAGAGGUUUGGACUCUGAUUUGGUUCAGAUAAGAGGUGUGUAGGGGCCAAGAUGGAGCACACAAGAUAAAGACUAUGGUAUGGAGAUGCUGCCAUGGAGUCCUAGUCUAACAAGGACUCCUCAUCAAUGGUUUCAAUCCUGGUUCUUAGGGCCUUGGGAGUAGAAGAUCAGAUCUGGAGGUACAUCUCAGAUCCCUA
rnacentral:lncRNA from 1 species